GUAGGUGAACCUGCGGAAGGAUCAUUAACGUAUCCUGGCGGGGUGCGGCCUGCCCAGCUCCGGUCCCCUCGGGGCCGUGCAGCGGGCGUCCGUCCCUGUCCACACCUCACAAACCCACUGUGAACCUUCACGGCGGAUGGGGCCUCCGGUUAACGCUGGGGCGCCUCUGAUGCCGCAUACCAAACUCCAGUUGCAAAGAAUGUCGUGCGGACACUGUGCCGCCUAAAACACUAAACAACUUUCAACAACG
rnacentral:misc_RNA from 1 species